GGUCUCUGGCUGGUCCUCUGGGGUCCUGGGGGGGUCUGGACACAGGAAGCCAGGCUCCAGGAUCUCAGACACAAGCAGAAAACCCAGGAGUUGGAAAUGGGUUUGUCUUCUCACGGGGCCCCAGGAGUGACGCAUCUGAAAGGCCCAUCAAACCCCCGCUUUCUGAAGCUAAGGUAAGACACCUAAAUGUUCUCUCCAUAUCCUUCUGUAACAUUUUCUAGACAAGAGGGAUAGUGUGUGGCAAUUCCCUCUGGGGAUUCUUUGCUUUCAGGGAGCCAGGCAGCCCUACGGUGGAUUCCCAGGGGAGGAAGAAGAACAUUUACUUCUCAACUGCUCCUCCCUGGGCCCAGCCCACCACACAGGGCAGAUCUUUU
rnacentral:lncRNA from 1 species